GCGGAAGGAAUAACUUGCAUGGGCAGCUGAUGGAAAGUUGGCUUGGUCUGUUUUUAUUAGUUCAGUUUACAUUGGGUUUACAUUGGGUUUACACUGGGUUUGGGCUUAUGAGAGGUUAUCAUACCUAAAUCUUCUGCUUUAAGACUUGGCGCAACUGAAUCUUUUGGGUAUCCAUCCUUGCCUCUUGAAGCUUCGUUUUUAGACUGUCUUUCUGAGAACCACGUGGCCAUUCAAUG
rnacentral:lncRNA from 1 species